CCUAUGGCAAGCAAGUCUGCCAAGUUUCCCCUUCUUUAGAAUGAGACUCUUUUCUUCUGGAUGAAUCUUGUUCAAAUCCAAUAACGAGGAAAGAGGAAACAAGAGCUAUAUUUGGCACAUUUUGAUUAGAAGGAUCAUGAAAGCAACUUAUCACUGAAGGGACCACAAAGGCAAGAUGAUCUUCAAAUAGCAGUGUUUCCUCAGGGUCAAAGCUCAGCGAAUCUCCUGUGAGCCCAGGAGAGCACCAGGAGGCCACUGCAGCUUCUCAGGGCAAAGGAAGGAAGCGGCAAAAGUCCAGAGCUCUCACAGCA
rnacentral:lncRNA from 1 species